CUACGGGGCGCAGCAGUGGGGAAUAUUGGGCAGUGGGCGCAAGCCUGACCCAGCAACGCCGCGUGAGGGAAGAAGGUUUUCGGAUUGUAAACCUCUGUCCUUGGGGACGAAGAAGUGACGGUACCCAAGGAGGAAGCUCUGGCUAACUACGUGCCAGCAGCCGCGGUAAUACGUAGGGAGCAAGCGUUGUCCGGAAUUACGGGGCGUCAAGGGUGCGUAGGCGGCAUAUUAAGUCAGGUGUGAAAUACUCGGGCUCAACCCGGGGGCUGCAUUUGAAACUGAUAUGCUGGAGUGUGAGAGAGGAAAGUGGAAUUCCUAGUGUAGCGGUGGAAUGCGUAGAUAUUAGGAGGAACACCAGUGGCGAAGGCGACUUUCUGGCUCAUAACUGACGCUGAGGCACGAAAGCGUGGGGAGCAAACAGGAUUAGAUACCCCUGUAGUC
rnacentral:rRNA from 1 species